rnacentral:rRNA from 1 species
AUGCAUCUACUGGAGGGGUUCAGGGACGCUACGGGGCUGCGCGGCAACCCUCAAAAGUCGUCGGCGGCAGCAAUAAACUACGACAACGUAGACCUCAUAGACGUGCUCCGAAACUUUGGCGGCGCCAGAGUGGGCUUCCCGAUCAGAUACCUAGGCCUCCCGCUAUGCAUUGGCAGGCUACGGCUAGUACACAUCCAGUACCUACUCGACCGCAUCCGCGCAAGAUUGGCGGCUUGGAAAGGCCGGCUCCUGCCGAUCGCCGGGCGCCGCGUACUCGUCAGGUCCGUCCUAUCAGCGCUGCCAGCCUUCGCCAUGGCGGUGCUACGAAUCCCAAAGAAAUUCUACAAGGAUGUAGACAAAGCGCGGCGUCGGUUCCUGUGGGCACAGGACGAAGAGGUCACCGGAGGGAAAUGCAAAGUAAACUGG